AUUGAACGCUGGCGGUAUGCUUAACACAUGCAAGUCGAACGAGUGGCGGACGGGUGAGUAAUGCAUAGGAAUCUACCUUUUAGUCUAGGAUAACUACCCGAAAGGGUGGCUAAUACUGGAUGCUAAGAUAUGAGCCUAUGUGGUAUUAGGUAUUUGGUGGGGUAAUGGCUCACCAGGGCGACGCUCUCUCGCUGGUUUGAGAGGAUGUUCAGCCCAAAUGGGACUGAGACACGGCCCAGACUCCUACGGGAGGCAGCAGUGGGGAAUAUUGGAAAAUGGGCGAAAGCCUGAUCCAGCAAUACCGGGUGUGUGAAGGAGGCCCUAGGGUUGUAAAGCACUUUUGUUAGGGAGAUGUUAACUAAAGAAUAAGCACCGGCUAACUCCGUGCCAGCAGCCGCGGUAAUAC
rnacentral:rRNA from 1 species